rnacentral:rRNA from 1 species
AUACGGAGGGUCCAAGCGUUAUCCGGAUUCAUUGGGUUUAAGGGGUCCGCAGGCGGGAAAAUAAGUCAGUGGUGAAAGCCUACAGCUCAACUGUAGAACUGCCAUUGAUACUGUUUUUCUUGAGUAUAGAUGAAGUGGGCGGAAUAUAUCAUGUAGCGGUGAAAUGCAUAGAUAUGAUAUAGAGCACCGAUUGCGAAGGCAGCUCACUAAACUAUUACUGACGCUCAGGGACGAAAGCGUGGGGAGCGAACAGGAUUAGAAACCCUAGUAGUCC